rnacentral:misc_RNA from 1 species
UCCCCGUUACCGGGGCAGUCUGAAUAGAAAAAUACAACUAUUCACAAGGGUUGCGCUCGUUAAUGGACUUAACCAAACAUCUCACGACACGAGCUGACGACGGCCAUGCAUCAUCUGUCACCGAGUUCCUUGCGGCACAGUUUCCUUUCGGAAGCCUUCUCGGGAUGUCAAACCUGGGUAAGGUUCUUCGUUUAUCAUCGAAUUAAAGAACACGAUCCACCGCUUGUGCGGGUCCCCGUCAAUUCCUUUAUGUUUUAGUCUUGCGACCGUACUCCACAGGCGGGAUACUUAACGCGUUAGCUUCGCUACUGAAGGGGUCGAUACCUCCAACAGCUAGUAUCCAUCGUUUACGGCGUGGACUAC